rnacentral:rRNA from 1 species
GGGCCGGGCCGGCGUCGCCGUCUCCGUGCGACCCGACGCACUUCCUCCCGCCCCCAGGACGCCGCAGCCGGUCGGGUAGAUCGUCGAGUCGGCCUUAAGGACGGGCACCGGAAGGUGGCCGGUGGCGUUCCCUUCCGGGUUCGCCGCCGGUCGUUAUCCAGCUCGCCCGAGGCGCGACACCCGACCGAGGUCGAAGGUCCCCGUUAGGACCACGCCGUCCCCUCGUUUAUCGAGCAGGAGCGCCGGCAGGCGAUUCCCCGGCAGGUCGAACCACUCUCCGAGUGGCCGGCCGUCGGGUGGCGCUGUUGGUUCGGACGCUUCCUGCGGGGGUUUUUUCCUCAAGAAAAAAAUUGGCGGCUUGCGGCGAGUAGGUCGGUCACCCACCCGACCCGUCUUGAAACACGGACCAAGGAGUCUAACAUGUGCGCGAGUCGCCGGGUCUUGUUCAGGCCCGCAGGCGCAAUGAAAGUGAAGGGCGUGCCC